rnacentral:rRNA from 1 species
UACAGAGGUGGCAAGCGUUGUUCGGAAUUACUGGGCGUAAAGGGCGCGUAGGCGGUCUUGUAAGUCUUGUGUGAAAUCCCUCGGCUUAACUGAGGAACUGCACGGGAUACUGCGAGACUUGAGAUCGGGAGAGGGAAGCGGAAUUCCGGGUGUAGCGGUGAAAUGCUUAGAGAUUACAUGGAAUACCAAUUGCGAAGGCAGGUUACUACUAAUGGAUUGACGCUGAUGGACGAAAGCGUGGGUAGCGAACAGG